CCUACCCCUGGAGGCAAUGCAAGUGGGGCUGCUGUGUCACCUGUGCAUCAGUAGGUGGCAGAGAAGAGAGAGGCUAUGUCUCUGCUCAGUGUUCUGAUCUAUGAACAUCUGAAUGUUUAGUAGACUAACAUU
ensembl:snoRNA LOC120093437 small nucleolar RNA SNORA17